rnacentral:rRNA from 1 species
AGCGAACGCUGGCGGCAGGCCUAACACAUGCAAGUCGAACGAACCCUUCGGGGUUAGUGGCGGACGGGUGAGUAACACGUGGGAACGUGCCUUUAGGUUCGGAAUAACUCAGGGAAACUUGUGCUAAUACCGAAUGUGCCCUUCGGGGGAAAGAUUUAUCGCCUUUAGAGCGGCCCGCGUCUGUUUAGCUAGUUGGUGAGGUAAAGGCUCACCAAGGCUACGAUCAGUAGCUGGUCUGAGAGGAUGACCAGCCACAUUGGGACUGAGACACGGCCCAAACUCCUACGGGAGGCAGCAGUGGGGAAUCUUGCGCAAUGGGCGAAAGCCUGACGCAGCCAUGCCGCGUGGAUGAUGAAGGUCUUAGGAUUGUAAAAUCCUUUCACCGGUGAAGAUAAUGACUGUAGCCGGAGAAGAAGCCCCGGCUAACUUCGUGCCAGCAGCCGCUGUAAAAC